AUGACAAAGAAAAGAAGGAACAACAAUCAUGCCAAAAAGGGGCACAGCCACAUGCAGCCUAUUCGUUGCACAAACUGUGCCCGACGUGUGCCCAAGGACAAGGCCAUUAAGAAAUUUUUCAUCAUUCGAAAUGUGGUGGAGGCCGCAGCAGUCAGGGACAUUUGUGAAGCGAGUGUCUUCAAUGCCUAUGUGCUUCCCAAGCUGUAUGUGAAGCUAAAUUACUGUGUGAGAUGUGCAAUUCACAGAAAAGUCGUCAGGAAUCCACCUUGUAAAGCCCACAAGGACCAAACACACCCACCAAAG
rnacentral:lncRNA from 1 species